CUGGGCAUAGCCUUUUUCACCUUAACACGCCUUCAAUUAUUGUUUCCGCUCAGUUUAACCACUUAGUUUUGUGGUAAAUUGGUUGUUUUCUUGCCAUCCCUCGGAAAUACCUGACAGGAAAACCCAGACCGACUGAAAUCAAAGGACCACAUGGAUGGAAAUGAUGGUGUCGCUGUGUCCAAGCCUCCUCCGAGUGGACGCUGCAAGCCAAGAAAGGCUUCACUGCAACAAAUCCUUUGAGAUGAAGGUCAAUGGCAGGUUCUGUGGUUUGCUAUGAAUCCAUCAGGGGGCGCUGUCUUGCAAGUCCAACUCAACGUUUCCCAGCAGAAAGAUGCUUUGCCAAGAUGUGAUGUGUGACUGCAGCUUUUAGACGUCCCUCAGGCCUCAUUUUUGACGCCUCGCUGUCGUGUCGAAGACGAUGUCUCAGCAUUUCACAUGCAGAUGAGGCGACCUUGGAGGUUUUUAUAUUUAUAUCAAAUGUGCACGCUCAUCCCUAAAAGCACACAAAACACAAUAGGGUCUUCACAACAUGAACUUUUCUUGGGUGUCCUGAUGGAUAAACACCAUCAUGGCUGGCUUCACGAUCACUUCUGCUUCUACACAAACAAGAUUGGAUUGGACCACACCUUUUGCCAUAGAGGAAGUUUGGCAGGGAUCGCAGACUUGGUGGCGAGGGAGGAGGCAGAAUGAAGGAGGGAGGACACAGCAGCAAGUCCUUACAAGUUCUGAUACCACACACACACACACAUAGGGUGGACGCGAGGACACAAUAGCAUCGUCAAGCGGGCGUGUUUACUUGUGUGAGUGUGAACGUGUUUAUGUGUGGGAGAGGUCAUGUUCACACACACGGCUAUUUUGGAACUCACUUGGAGAGGGAAAUGUGUGCGUGUGUGUGUGUGAUGAUGGAUGGGAGACACACAAACACACACAGGUUGCCUCGGGAAUCCCCUGGCCCUGUCA